rnacentral:rRNA from 1 species
GAAGGGGAUAACCUCGGGAAACUGAGGAUAAUACCCUAUAGGAUACCGAUGCUGGAAUGCCCGGUAUCCCAAAGCUCCGGCGCCUUAGGAUGGAUCUGCGGCCGAUUAGGUCGUUGUUGGGGUAACGGCCCAACAAGCCGAUAAUCGGUACGGGUUGUGGGAGCAAGAGCCCGGAGUUGGAUUCUGAGACACGAAUCUAGGCCCUACGGGGCGCAGCAGGCGCGAAAACUUUACAAUGCGGGCAACCGUGAUAAGGGAACCUCGAGUGCCUGUACAUGCAGGCUGUCUGGGUGUCUAAAACACACCUAAAGAAAGGGCCGGGCAAGACCGGUGCCAGCCGCCGCGGUAAUACCGGCGCUCGAGUGGUGGCCACUUUUAUUGGGCUUAAAGCGUUCGUAGCUGGGUUGUUAAGUCUCUUGGGAAAUCUGGCAGCUUAACUGUCAGGCGUCUAAGAGAUACUGGCAAUCUAGGAACCGGGAGAGGUGAGGGGUACUUCGGGGGUAGGAGUGAAAUCCUGUAAUCCUCGAGGGACCACCUGUGGCGAAGGCGCCUCACCAGAACGGCUUCGACAGUGAGGGACGAAAGCUGGGGGAGCAAACCGGAUUAGAUACCCGGGUAGUCCCAGCCGUAAACGAUGCGCGUUAGGUGUGUCGAUGACCACGAGUCAUCGAGGUGCCGAAGGGAAACCGUGAAACGCGCCGCCUGGGAAGUACGGUCGCAAGGCUGAAACUUAAAGGAAUUGGCGGGGGAGCACCACAACAGGUGGAGCCUGCGGUUUAAUUGGCAACGCCGGGAAGCUCACCGGAUAGGACAGCAGAAUGAUUGCCGGGCUGAAGACUCUGCAUGACUAGCUGAGAGGAGGUGCAUGGCCGUCGUCAGUUCGUACUGUGAAGCAUCCUGUUAAGUCAGGCAACGAGCGAGACCCACGCCAACAGUUGCCAGCACGAUCC